AUGGGGAAGGGGCUCAGCCUGGUGUCAGUUUUUGGUGGAUCUUGCAGCUCCCUCCCAUCCUCCAUCCCGCUGCCUUGGGAAGCAGCUCAGUCCAGCAGCGAUGCCGGGGGGGGGCUCAGCUUCCCGGGGCAGCUCCGGGAGCCGCUUCCAGCACUUUUGGGGAUUGUUGGAGGAGGAUUUGCGGCGGUGCGGGUCUACGUGGCACUGCCAGCCCGGGAAUGUGGCACUGGGGAGCUCAGCCCCCCUCCAGCUCAUCCCGAUGGGUGCUGGGGCAGGGGGGUCUUUGCUGCUGUGGCAGGAGCGUUGCCAAACUCCCCCAAAAAACUCCAGGAGUCACUGCCCUGUCUCAGGGCAGCUGGGCUGGGUGGCACCAGCCCGUGCAGUGCCAGGAUCCGGCUUUGCCCUGCGGAACGCCCGGCUCCCAGGGCAGGUGUGGUGCUGCUGGAGGCACAGACGCUGCCUCUACCUGCCUCCCUUGGGAUCAGCGCGAAGGGGGAGAGCGGGGGAACUUUCCCGACUCGUUUCCCCACGUUGAGGGAAAAAAAAAAGAAAAAAAAAGGGAAAAAAAAAAAGAAAAAAAAGGGGGAAAAAAAAGAAAAAAAAAAGGAAAAAAAAAAGAAAAAAAGGGAAAAAAAAAAAAAGGAAAUAAAAGAAAAAAAAGAAAAAAAAGAAAAAAAAGGGGGAAAAAAAAAGAAAAAAAAAAGAAAAAAAAAAAAAAAAAAGAAAAGGAGUCGCAUGACUUGGAGCUUCCCAAAAGGCAGCGCAGGGAGAGCGACCCAGGAGCCAAAAAUCUGCUCGGCUGCCGCGUCUCCUUGCGGCUCUGCGGGGCCGGCAGAGGUUGGGUUUUGGGUUACGGGAGGCGCGGAAAGGGGACGGUGCAGGAUGAGCUCAUGCGAGGCCGCGGGAACCUUCUGGGCAGGGAAAAAAAAUGUUGAUGCUGCAGUUCAGGGAUUUCUGCAGCCGCGGCUGUUCCCGCAGAUACCGCCGGGCCACCCCUCGUGCCGAUGGGCAAUAAAAUGA
rnacentral:lncRNA from 1 species